GAAAUGCAACUAUGCGUGAGAUUUUCAAGCUCAGCAUGCUCCUUUUACAGUGUGUGUCUUCCAUCAUGGCUGUGCCGACAGAAAUUUCACAUGGCACUUAUGCGUUUUAGGUAUGCCAAAGAAGUGCGAGAUAAAUUGGCGCACUACUUCGUCACAGACGGUCAGGUGCCUUGGCAGGACAAAGUGGUGAACAGCACUCGAGGCGUACAAGGUGAAGGUGUCGACACCAGUCUCCUCAGCCGUAUCAGGGGUACGUUCCGGUUCCGCUGCAUGGCUUGGCCGAGGCGGUGAUCUGCAGUGAUGAAAGCUUCUCUCUAUGUAUUUGAUGAUGCCACUAGUACAUGAACAGUUUUAGGCAUUCUUCGGGAGUUAAAAUGCCAUUAUGAUUUCACUCAACACGAGGUUUAUUUUACACUUGCGUUACCUCUUGAUUGAGCACUGCUGUAUGGAAGGUGUGCAUACAGAAGUUUAAUGUGCCUAUUAUGUUAA
rnacentral:lncRNA from 1 species